GGACAUCAUGCAAAGACUGCCAGACUCUGUAAUACUGUAAAUGAUCAGUGACUCAGGUUAACUCUAAACUUUAAACAGUCCCUCUGUGUCUCUGUGUGUGCUGAACAUCUAGGAUUGAGUCAGGCUGCAUUGACUGUGGGACUUUUCUCUGUUAAAAGCAGGUUGAAGACGGCUCAGAAACAUUUGAAGAUUAAAAUUUAGCAUUAUGGCUGCUGGUGGUACAGUACGUGAUAUUAAGGGCAGGCGGUCAUCACUGGGGGAAGACAAGAAGCAGACGUACUUCCAAGAGGGAGCUGCAGUGAGGACACAGCCUGGUCACUGAGGUCAGAGGAGGCGCUGAAAGGUUUCCCUAAUAGUUCCUGGUGAAUCAAAGCAGGACCAUAAAGGUUGCUGGACUACAUGAUGGCCUUACCCCUGAGAAGUCAUCCUGUUAAAGGAGGAACCAGUUAGAAGCUGUUUUCAAAGUAGCUGAGCAGAUUUCAUCUCAACAGACAAAGCCGAUGGCAGAAGAUGUUUGGAGAAGAACUUCAGGCCGUGGACUGAAAAGUAGAUCAAAGCAGCUCGUGCUCUGUCUGCUUCC